rnacentral:misc_RNA from 1 species
AACCUAGCACACCUGCGGUGUGUACCUGCGGAGGGAUCAUUACACAAUAAACAUAUGAAGGCUGCACCGCCAACAGGCGGCAAGGCUGGAGUAUUUUAUUACCCUUGUCUUUUGCGCACUUGUUGUUUCCUGGGCGGGUUCGCCCGCCUCCAGGACCACAUGAUAAACCUUUUUUAUGCAGUUGCAAUCAGCGUCAGUACAACAAAUGUAAAUCAUUUACAACUUUUAACAAUGGAUCUC